rnacentral:sRNA from 1 species
GGAUGUUUGCCGAGCCUUGACAGGCGUGGCAGAGGGAGCAGUGCCCGAGCGCGGUUUCUCUUAAGGUUCUGCAGGGCAAGGCUGUCUGGGACAGGCUUGGCCAUGGAUCCGCUCUCAGAGCUGCAGGAUGAUCUGACCUUGGAUGACACCAGCGAGGCUCUGAACCAGCUGAAGCUGGCCUCCAUCGAUGAGAAGAACUGGCCCUCGGAUGAAAUGCCUGACUUCCCCAAGUCAGAUGACUCCAAAAGCAGCUCCCCGGAACUUGUCACACACCUGAAGUGGGAUGACCCAUACUAUGACAUCGCCCGGCACCAGAUCGUGGAGGUGGCAGGAGAUGACAAGUAUGGGCGGAAGAUCAUUGUGUUUAGUGCCUGUCGAAUGCCCCCCAGCCACCAGCUCGACCACAGCAAGCUCCUGGGGUGAGUACCUGCCGGGAAGUGCGUGGGGGCUUUGCCCAGAUCCCCAUUGUAGCCUAAUGCCACGUUCUUUACUGUCCCUCCCUGCCUGUGGGUGCUAGGCCACCUGCCUUAAUGCCUUCCCUCUUCUCAUGAAGGAGCUGGUUUAUAUUUAGGGGAGAGCACUGGACGAGGAGUCAGACCUAGUUUCUAGUUAUUGAAGCUGGGUGACCUUGGUAAGCAUCUUUAAGCCUCGCUUUCCUCACCUUUCAAAAGGGAUAAUAAUAUAGGUCUCUUUCCUUGUAGGAGUGACAAACAGCGCAUGAAAAGGAAGGACUUUUGUCCAGAUGUGAGGAUUGACUGUUACAAUCCUGUGGUGUUUCUGAGAUGGUUGCAGUUGUUUAUUGUUUAUAGGACUCAUUAGUGUUGUCUUAUUUUGUGCCUUUGGUGUCAGUGGUUUCUAUACCGAUGUGGGUUCUGGGAGCCAAACAUAUGUAAUAGCUCUGG